rnacentral:rRNA from 1 species
UACGUAGGCAGCGAGCGUUGUUCGGAGUUACUGGGCGUAAAGAGUGCGUAGGCGGUUUUAUAAGUUUGGCGUGAAAUCUCCCGGCUUAACUGGGAGGGUGCGCCGAAAACUGGAAGGCUUGAGUAUGGGAGAGGUAAGCGGAAUUCCUGGUGUAGCGGUGAAAUGCGCAGAUAUCGGGAGGAACACCAAUGGCGAAGGCAGCUCGCUGGGACGGUACUGACGCUGAGACGCGAAAGCGUGGGGAGCAAACAGG